rnacentral:rRNA from 1 species
UACGUAAGGACCGAGCGUUGUCCGGAAUUACUGGGCGUAAAGAGCUCGUAGGUGGUUUGCCGAGUCGUCUGUGAAAUUCCGGGGCUUAACUCCGGACGUGCAGGCGAUACGGGCAUAACUUGAGUACUGUAGGGGAGACUGGAAUUCCUGGUGUAGCGGUGAAAUGCGCAGAUAUCAGGAGGAACACCGGUGGCGAAGGCGGGUCUCUGGACAGUAACUGACGCUGAGGUGCGAAAGCGUGGGGAGCGAACAGG